rnacentral:misc_RNA from 1 species
GAUGAAGAACGCAGCGAAAUGCGAUAAGUAAUGUGAAUUGCAGAAUUCAGUGAAUCAUCGAAUCUUUGAACGCACAUUGCGCCCGCUAGUAUUCUGGCGGGCAUGCCUGUCCGAGCAUCAUUUCAACCCUCAAGCCCCCGGGCUUGGUGUUGGGGAUCGGCGAGCCUCCGCGCCCGCCGUCCCCUAAAUCUAGUGGCGGUCUCGCUGUAGCUUCCUCUGCGUAGUAGCACACCUCGCACUGGGAAACAGCGCGGCCACGCCGUUAACCCCCCAACUUCUGAACGUUUGACCUCGGAUCAGGUAGGAAUACCCGCUGAACUUAAGCAUAUCAAUAAGCGGAGGA